AGGGGUUUGAUCAUGGGGCUCAGGAUGAACGCUAGCGGCAGGCCUAAUACAUGCAAGUCGAACGGUAAUCCCGAUAUUUCGGUAUCGGGAACGAGUGGCGCACGGGUGCGUAACGCGUAUGCAACCUACCCUAUACAGGGGGAUAGCCCGGAGAAAUUUGGAUUAAUACCCCAUAGUACUAUUGAGAGGCAUCUUUAAAUAGUUAAAGAUUUAUUGGUAAAGGAUGGGCAUGCGUAAGAUUAGCUAGUUGGUGAGGUAAGGGCUCACCAAGGCGACGAUCUUUAGGGGUUCUGAGAGGAUGAUCCCCCACACUGGCACUGAGAUACGGGCCAGACUCCUACGGGAGGCAGCAGUAGGGAAUAUUGGUCAAUGGGCGAGAGCCUGAACCAGCCAUGCCGCGUGCAGGAAGACGGCCUUCUGGGUUGUAAACUGCUUUUAUAUGGGAAGAAAAGGCCCCUGCGGGGGACAUUGCCUGUACCAUAUGAAUAAGCACCGGCUAACUCCGUGCCAGCAGCCGCGGUAAUACGGAGGGUGCAAGCGUUGUCCGGAUUUAUUGGGUUUAAAGGGUACGUAGGCGGCCGAUUAAGUCAGUGGUGAAAACCUGCAGCUCAACUGUAGAGGUGCCAUUGAAACUGUUUGGCUUGAGUUCUGUUAAGGUAGGCGGAAUUGAUGGUGUAGCGGUGAAAUGCAUAGAUACCAUCAGGAACACCGAUUGCGAAGGCAGCUUACUGGGCAUGAACUGACGCUAAUGUACGAAAGCGUGGGGAGCGAACGGGGAUUAGAUACCCUGGUAG
rnacentral:rRNA from 1 species